GAGUUUGAUCCUGGCUCAGGAUGAACGCUGGCGGCGUGCUUAACACAUGCAAGUCGAACGGGAAAUAUUUCAUUGAGACUUCGGUGGAUUUGAUCUAUUUCUAGUGGCGGACGGGUGAGUAACGCGUGGGUAACCUGCCCUGGAGUGGGGGACAACAGUUGGAAACGGCUGCUAAUACCGCAUAAGCCCACGAUCCGGCAUCGGAUUGAGGGAAAAGGAUUUAUUCGCUUCAGGAUGGACUCGCGUCCAAUUAGCUAGUUGGUGAGGUAACGGCCCACCAAGGCGACGAUUGGUAGCCGGCCUGAGAGGGUGAACGGCCACAUUGGGACUGAGACACGGCCCAGACUCCUACGGGAGGCAGCAGUGGGGAAUAUUGCACAAUGGGGGAAACCCUGAUGCAGCGACGCCGCGUGAAGGAAGAAGUAUCUCGGUAUGUAAACUUCUAUCAGCAGGGAAGAUAGUGACGGUACCUGACUAAGAAGCCCCGGCUAACUACGUGCCAGCAGCCGCGGUAAUAC
rnacentral:rRNA from 1 species